rnacentral:rRNA from 1 species
UGAGUAACGCGUGGGUAACCUGCCCUUAAGUCUGGGAUACCAUUUGGAAACAGAUGCUAAUACCGGAUAAAAGCUACUUUCGCAUGAAAGAAGUUUAAAAGGACGGCGUAAGCUGUCGCUAAAGGAUGGACCUGCGAUGCAUUAGCUAGUUGGUAAGGUAACGGCUUACCAAGGCGAUGAUGCAUAGCCGAGUUGAGAGACUGAUCGGCCACAUUGGGACUGAGACACGGCCCAAACUCCUACGGGAGGCAGCAGCC